AACAAGCCUCCUGAUCUGGUUCCAAACAAAUUCCUUUACAUGACGAAGGAUCUGACCCGCUUGUCAGAGUAUUUUGGUGUUCCCAUGCAGGCUCCAUCUGACCCCUUUGAGGUCAUGUUCCAAAAAGGCUCCUUGUCUGCAAUGUGAUUUGUGGCAGCAGUACAAGAAAGGGAGAAGGGUGGAGACAAGCAGGUGGAGCGGGUGUCCCGGGAGCUGUGGAAAAGGAUCUGGAGUGAGGACAAAGACAUCACUGAACCUGCAUCACUGGCUGAGGCAGCGAUGAAAGCAGGAUUGUCUGACAGAGAGAUUAAAGAAGUGCUGGAGCUGUCCACCUCAAAGGAGGU